rnacentral:misc_RNA from 1 species
UGCUUCUCCUGCCUUUUUUUACUCAGUUCAUAUAAGAAUUUCUCCUUAGGUACACGAUCAAAAUCUGCCUGAUAAUUUGCUUCAGUCAAAUAAUAAUUUGUCCUGUCCUCAGCCAAAUAUGCUUUACUUGACAUGCUCUGAUAGCAAGCACAGCCACGUCUAUUCCUUAUUGAUAGUUUAACUGGGUUAAUCCAAUUCUUGUAGUGAUUUAUUAAGCAGGAUUCUUGAACCAGCAUUAGACUAAAGCUAUGCUUAUG